rnacentral:rRNA from 1 species
AUUGAACGCUGGCGGCAUGCCUUACACAUGCAAGUCGAACGGCAGCACGGGAGCAAUCCUGGUGGCGAGUGGCGAACGGGUGAGUAAAGUAUCGGAACGUGCCCAGUCGUGGGGGAUAACGUAGCGAAAGUUACGCUAAUACCGCAUACGAUCUAUGGAUGAAAGCGGGGGAUCGCAAGACCUCGCGCGAUUGGAGCGGCCGAUAUCAGAUUAGGUAGUUGGUGGGGUAAAGGCUAACCAAGCCGACGAUCUGUAGCUGGUCUGAGAGGACGACCAGCCACACUGGGACUGAGACACGGCCCAGACUCCUACGGGAGGCAGCAGUGGGGAAUCUUGGACAAUGGGCGAAAGCCUGAUCCAGCCAUGCCGCGUGCAGGAUGAAGGCCUUCGGGUUGUAAACUGCUUUUGUACGGAACGAAAAGGUUUGGCCUAAUAAGCUGAGCUCAUGACGGUACCGUAAGAAUAAGCACCGGCUAACUACGUGCCAGCCGCCGCGGUAA